GGUCAAGCGAAUAAGCGCACACGGUGGAUGCCUUGGCGGUCAGAGGCGAUGAAGGACGUGGCAGCCUGCGAAAAGUAUCGGGGAGCUGGCAACAAGCUUUGAUCCGGUAAUGUCCGAAUGGGGAAACCCACCCGCUUGCGGGUAUCCUGCAGUGAAUACAUAGCUGCUGGAAGCGAACCUGGUGAACUGAAAUAUCUAAGUAACCAGAGGAAAAGAAAUCAACCGAGAUUCCGUAAGUAGCGACGAGCGAACGCGGACUAGCCCUUAAGCUGAUUUGGUUCUAGGAAAAUGCUCUGGAAAGAGCAGCCAUAGAAGGUGAUAGCCCUGUAUCUGAAAGGGCCAUUUCAGUGAAGACGAGUAGGGCGGGGCACGUGAAACCCUGUCUGAACAUGGGGGGACCAUCCUCCAAGGCUAAAUACUACUGACCGACCGAUAGUGAACCAGUACCGUGAGGGAAAGGCGAAAAGAACCCCGGAGAGGGGAGUGAAAUAGAACCUGAAACCGUGUGCGUACAAGCAGUAGGAGCUCCGCAAGGAGUGACUGCGUACCUUUUGUAUAAUGGGUCAGCGACUUACUGUUCGUGGCAAGCUUAACCGUAUAGGGGAGGCGAAGGGAAACCGAGUCUGAUAAGGGCGCAUAGUCGCGGGCAGUAGACCCGAAACCGGGUGAUCUAGUCAUGCCCAGGGUGAAGGUGCGGUAACACGCACUGGAGGCCCGAACCCACUCCCGUUGCAAAGGUAGGGGAUGAGGUGUGAUUAGGAGUGAAAAGCUAAUCGAACCCGGAGAUAGCUGGUUCUCCUCGAAAGCUAUUUAGGUAGCGCCUCAUAUGUAUCCUCUCGGGGGUAGAGCACUGUUAUGGCUAGGGGGUCAUCGCGACUUACCAAACCAUUGCAAACUCCGAAUACCGAGACGGACUGUAUGGGAGACACACGGCGGGUGCUAACGUCCGUCGUGAAAAGGGAAACAACCCAGACCCACAGCUAAGGUCCCAAAUUCACUGCUAAGUGGAAAACCAUGUGGAAAGGCACAGACAGCCAGGAGGUUGGCUUAGAAGCAGCCACCCUUUAAAGAAAGCGUAAUAGCUCACUGGUCGAGUCGGUCUGCGGGGAAGAUUUAACGGGGCUAAGCAGUGAACCGAAGCUUGGGGUGCAUAACUUUGUUAUGCGCGGUAGAGGAGCGUUCCGUAAGCCGUUGAAGGUGGAUUGAGAAGUCUGCUGGAGGUAUCGGAAGUGCGAAUGCUGACAUGAGUAACGAUAAUGCGGGUGAAAAACCCGCACGCCGAAAGCCCAAGGUUUCCUUGCGCAACGUUAAUCGGCGCAGGGUGAGUCGGCCCCUAAGGCGAGGACGAAAGUCGUAGUCGAUGGGAAGCAGGUUAAUAUUCCUGCACCUCGCGUAAGUGCGAUGGAGGGACGGAGAAGGUUAGGUGUACCAGGCGUUGGUUGUCCUGGGGAAAGGCGGUAGGUUUGGAUCUUUGGCAAAUCCGGGAUCCUUUAAGACCGAGCACCGAGACGAGCCUUUAUGGCGAAGUCACUGAUACCACGCUUCCAGGAAAAGCUCCUAAGCUUCAGCUUACGCAGACCGUACCGUAAACCGACACAGGUGGGUAGGAUGAGAAUUCUCAGGCGCUUGAGAGAACUCGGGUGAAGGAACUAGGCAACAUGGCACCGUAACUUCGGGAGAAGGUGCACCCUUUUUGGUGGCUCGUGCGAGCUAUAGCUGAAGAGGGUCGCAGUAACCAGGCCGCUGCGACUGUUUAUCAAAAACACAGCACUCUGCAAACACGAAAGUGGACGUAUAGGGUGUGACGCCUGCCCGGUGCUGGAAGGUUAAUUGAUGGGGUCAGCCGCAAGGCGAAGCUCUUGAUCGAAGCCCCAGUAAACGGCGGCCGUAACUAUAACGGUCCUAAGGUAGCGAAAUUCCUUGUCGGGUAAGUUCCGACCUGCACGAAUGGCGUAACGACAGCGGCGCUGUCUCCACCCGAGACUCAGUGAAAUUGAAAUCGCUGUGAAGAUGCAGCGUUCCCGUGGCAAGACGGAAAGACCCCGUGAACCUUUACUAUAGCUUUACACUGAACGUUGAGUUCGUCUGUGUAGGAUAGGUGGGAGGCUAUGAAACUGUGGCGCUAGCUGCAGUGGAGCCAUCCUUGAAAUACCACCCUGUCGUGCUUGACGUUCUAACCUGGGCCCAUUAUCUGGGUCGGGGACCGUGUAUGGUGGGUAGUUUGACUGGGGCGGUCUCCUCCUAAAGAGUAACGGAGGAGCUCGAAGGUACGCUCAGCGCGGUCGGACAUCGCGCACUGUGUGCAAAGGCAUAAGCGUGCUUGACUGCAAGAUCGACGGAUCAAGCAGGUAGGAAACUAGGACUUAGUGAUCCGGUGGUUCUGUAUGGAAGGGCCAUCGCUCAACGGAUAAAAGGUACUCCGGGGAUAACAGGCUGAUACCGCCCAAGAGUUCAUAUCGACGGCGGUGUUUGGCACCUCGAUGUCGGCUCAUCACAUCCUGGGGCUGUAGUCGGUCCCAAGGGUAUGGCUGUUCGCCAUUUAAAGUGGUACGCGAGCUGGGUUCAGAACGUCGUGAGACAGUUCGGUCCCUAUCUGCCAUGGGCGUUGGAGAUUUGAGAGGGGCUGCUCCUAGUACGAGAGGACCGGAGUGGACGAACCUCUGGUGUUCCGGUUGUCACGCCAGUGGCAUUGCCGGGUAGCUAUGUUCGGAAGCGAUAACCGCUGAAAGCAUCUAAGCGGGAAGCGCGCCUCAAGAUGAGAUCUCCCGGGGCACAAGCCCCCUGAAGGAACCAUGUAGACUACGUGGUUGAUAGGUCAGGUGUGUAAGUACAGCAAUGUAUUGAGCUAACUGAUACUAAUGAUCCGAGAGGCUUGACCAU
rnacentral:rRNA from 1 species